CAGUUAAUUAAUUAAUUGAAUUAAUUGAUCUAUAAAUUUAAUUUUAAAAUAGUAUUUGUUUAAAUAGUAAAUGUUAUCUAUUUUAUUGUAUGUAAAGAUUUAAUUUAAAAAUGAAUGAAAGUUUGAUUUAGUUAUUAAAUUUAACAAAGGUAAUUUUAGUGCCAGCAACAGCGGUUAGACUUAAUUUGUAAAUUAAUUUAUUUAAUUUUUGAGUUGGUGUGUUUAUAUAAUAUUUAAUUAGAUUUGUUAAGAUGUAGUGAAAUAUUUUUAAUUAAAUAUAUUAAAUUUUGUUUGACUAAUAUUUGAUAAAUUUUUUGAAAGACUAGGAUUAGAUACCCUAUUAUAAAAAUAAUCUGAGUUGAAUUGAUUAUUAAAUGUAAAUCAUUAAAAUUAACAAAUGUGGCGGCUUUAUAAUUUAUUUAGAGGAAUUUGUGUAUUAAUUGAUGGUCCACAAUAGGAUAGACUAUAAAUGAUUAACUUUGUGUAUUGCUGUUUGAAGAGUUUAUUUAAAUAUUAUUCUUACUAUAUUUAAAUAAAAUAGGAAUUCAAGUCAAAAUGCGGGAUUUUAUAGGUUACAUGAAUUACAAUGAAUUAUAUUUUUGGAUAAAUUAUUUUAAUAUAAUUUUGAAAUUGGAUUUAAAAGUAAAUUUAUUGAAUUAAAUUUAUUGAAGAUAAUUUUAUUUAGUGUACAAAUUGCCCGUCAUUCUCAUUAUAAGUGAGGAAAGUCGUAACAGAGUAAAUGUACUGGAAAGUGUAUUUUUUGAAGA
rnacentral:ncRNA from 1 species